CCCUUAGAUGUUCUGGGCCGCACGCGCGCUACACUGAUGCAUUCAACGAGUUUCUUCCUGGUCCGAGAGGAAUGGGUAACCUUUUGAAAGUGCAUCGUGAUAGGGAUAGACUAUUGCAAUUAUUGGUCUUCAACGAGGAAUUCCUAGUAGACGUAGUUCAUCAGACUGCAUCGAUUACGUCCCUGCCCUUUGUACACACCGCCCGUCGCUCCUACCGAUUGAAUGCUCAGGUGAGCCAUUCGGACCUUCAUCAUGCCGGCUUCCGGUUUUGAUGAGGGAAAGUCUUGCGAACCUUAUCAUUUAGAGGAAGGAGAAGUCGUAACA
rnacentral:rRNA from 1 species